CCCGGGCCUUGUACACACCGCCCGUCACACCACGAAAGUCGGCAACACCCGAAGUCAGUGGCCCAACCCGCAAGGGAGGGAGCUGCCGAAGGUGGGGUUGGUGAUUGGGUG
rnacentral:rRNA from 1 species